UCUCACGCUCGCUCUGCUCUAUCACAUAAUACCACUUCUGCAGCUCCCUGCGAAUAAUCAAACCACUUCUGCAGCUCCCUGCGAACAAUCAAACAAUCAAACCAGCGUCGCAACCGCAAACCAACAAAAGCAGCAGGUUAGGUACUCUCAAUUUCCUCAAAUGGCUAGUAUCCAUGAUGAGCCGAAAAUUUCUCCCGAGGAGGAGGAGCAUAUGAAGAACAUGGCUAGAUACAGGGACCAUUUGAUAGCAAAAACAAUUGAGCGAAGAGAACGUGCUGCCAAAGAGGCUAUAGCUGCGGCGGCGCGAGCCCGAAAGUUACAAUCACAAAAUCACCCAAUAUGAUUGGCUCCUUCUUCCCCCAAGCAUACUCAAUUAACCAAUAUCGUAUGACGAGCUCAGGAGAUGGUCAUUGCACGUCAAGUGCUCCCAAGGAAGCCACUAGUGCCAAUAAGGAAGCUAAUGGAGUGGAGGUGUGUUACUAGGGUAAAACUGUUUGAAAAUGUUUAAAGUCCAUUCCCUGUUGCCUUGUGAAGGAAAGGUAGUUAUGCACCAGUCUUCUCUCAUUUGGCAGAAGUCUGCUCUGGUUUCUUUUUUGUCCCAUUCAAAUUCUUUUGUACAUACUGUAAUCUGGAUAUUUCUAACGCACAGAGUCCGUUUUGGUUCAUUAUCAGUAUUCAAUUCAGUCUCGUGUUUAACUAUUUUCUACCGAAUGUAUGCAUCACAUGCUUUGGUGAUUGGCGUAAGGAUGGAUCUUAAUCCAUCACAAACUGUUAUUGGUUGCGGUCCUUGAUCUUUAACGUUACAAUAUUUUACAUACAUCUUUAAAUAUAUGUUAGCAUCGCCAGUGGCAGAGCCAGGCCACGGUUUUUUAUUUGAAAUGAU